rnacentral:rRNA from 1 species
UACGGAGGAUCCAAGCGUUAUCCGGAUUUAUUGGGUUUAAAGGGUGCGUAGGCGGCCUAUUAAGUCAGGGGUGAAAGACGGUAGCUUAACUAUCGCAGUGCCCUUGAUACUGAUGGGCUUGAAUGUACUAGAGGUAGGCGGAAUGUGACAAGUAGCGGUGAAAUGCUUAGAUGUGACACAGAACACCGAUUGCGAAGGCAGCUCACUAAGCCAUAACUGACGCUGAUGCACGAAAGCGUGGGGAGCAAACAGG